rnacentral:lncRNA from 1 species
CUGAUGCUUCUUCAAACAUAAAAGAGCCAGCAAAAAUACCUCGAUACGACCAAUCAGGUUCGGAGAAAGACUACUCCGAACACGUGCCCUAGAAGAAGCGUCAGGAGGUAUUUCCUACUUCUGACGCGUGUCCACGUGUCAGAAGUUCCCGAGCCAUCUCUGACACUUGAUUAGAGACGCGUCCGUUUUGUGUCAGCAUAUAGGGUUUCCAACGCGUCAGAAAUAAGUGAUUAUGUAGUAGUGGUCUGAACAUGGUCGGUUCACACUCGAAGUCCAAGCAGCCUGAGGAGUUGGAGGCGUCUAUUAGAAAUUGUGUGAUUUGGGGUAAAAUAUGAAAAUGGGUAAUUGGUGGCACCAGUUUGUUUAAAUGGGGUAAUUGGUGGUACACGUUUUUUUUUCUUUUUGAAAAGGAGGUUGAAACCCUGGUCUCCGCAUCAAAAUGAUGCACACAACCAUUUUUGUUUAUUUAUCUAUUUACCAAGCCCGACAAAGCGAACACAUCAAUCGAACAACUGAAAGCUGCCAAGCUAUACCUACUAACCUGAUGAAGGGUAUGGCCAUUAUCGGAAGCCGUAUGUCCUGACCGCACACCACCACCUAAGUUCUAAAACUCCGGAGGCCACAAACGCACAACCGGACAAGCUAAUUUACAUUGUCUGCUGCAUGCACACGCUCAAGACAACCUGCCACCAUCUUCGACCAACCC